rnacentral:tRNA from 1 species
GCCGCGUUAGCUCAGUGGUAGAGCGCAUCCUUGGUAAGGCUGAGGUCGAGAGUUCGAGUCUCUCACGUGGCA